GGAGUCUAACACGUGCGCGAGUCGACGGGACGUUUCUCGAACAGACCCGAAGGCGCAGUGAAAGCGGGACGGCCGGUUGUCGGGUCCGGCCGGAGGGGCUCGUCCCUUCCGAGCCGUCCCCCCGCUCCGGCCGAGUCCGGGGAAGAAGGCGAGCGAGGAAACUGAUCCAUCUUUUUUCUCGCCGCCCGCACUCCCAGGGCGCCUCGGCUCAUGCCGCAGGCGCACCCCGAGCGUACGCGUUGGGACCCGAAAGAUGGUGAACUAUGCCUGGCCAGGACGAAGUCAGGGGAAACCCUGAUGGAGGUCCGCAGCGAUUCUGACGUGCAAAUCGAUCGUCAGAGCCGGGUAUAGGGGCGAAAGACUAAUCGAACGAUCUAGUAGCUGGUUCCCUCCGAAGUUUCCCUCAGGAUAGCUGGCGCCCGUUUGGAACGGGACGAGUCUCAUCCGGUAAAGCGAAUGAUUAGAGGCCUUGGGGCCGAAACGACCUCAACCUAUUCUCAAACUUUAAAUGGGUGAGAACGAUGGCUUGCUCGAAGACUGUGAAGCCGUCGCGUCGGAUGAGGGCGCCAAGUGGGCCAUUUUUG
rnacentral:rRNA from 1 species